ensembl:misc_RNA Metazoa_SRP Metazoan signal recognition particle RNA
GCCAGGCAUGGUGGUGCAUGCCUGUAACCCCAGCUACUCAGGAGGCUGAGGCAGGAGAAUCGCUUGAACCCGGGAGGCUGAGGUUGCAGUGAGCCGAGAUUGCACCACUGCACUCCAGCCUGGGCAACAGAGUGAGACUCUGCCUCAA